AUCACUUCCGAGCCUUUUGACUAAGAUCAAGCAGAAGGUCUGUUCUUGUCUGUCUAACAUUGGUUGCGUCCUCUAUCUGAAGACAAUAUAAUAAAUGAAUUUUAGAGCCAAUCCAUAGACUAGAAAUUGGUUCUAUCCACUAUACUCAUUGACCUGAUAUUGCAGAACCUCCAGGGAAGGUGCAUGCCCU
ensembl:snRNA U2 U2 spliceosomal RNA